rnacentral:rRNA from 1 species
ACUCAAAUGAAUUGACGGGGACCCGCACAACUGGUGGAGCGUGUGGUUUAAUUCGAGACGAAGCGAAAAACCUUACCAAGGUUUGACAUGCUACCGUACAUUUCCCUGGAAACAGGGAGAAAUCCGCAAGGAUGGUAGCACAGGUGCUGCAUGGCUGUCGUCAGCUCGUGCCGUGAGGUGUUCCCUUAAGUGGGGAAACGAGCGCAACCCCCGCGAAAUGUUACAUAUUCAUUUCGGACAGAUCCCGUUCAACGGGAUAGGAAGAAGGGGAAGACGUCAAGUCCGCACGGCCCUUAUACCUUGGGUCACACACACCCUACAAUGGCGAAGAACAAUGGGCAGCAAGCUAGCAAUAGCAAGCAAAUCCCAGAAAUUUCGCCUCAGUUCAGAUUGGGGUCUGCAACCCGACCCCAUGAAGUCGGAAUCAGUAGUAAUCGCGGAUCAGAAGGCCGCGGUGAAUACGUUCUCGGGUCUUGUACACACCGCCCGU